UUCCCGGGCCUUGUACACACCGCCCGUCACACCAUGGGAGUGGGUUGCAAAAGAAGUAGGUAGCUUAACCUUCGGGAGGGCGCUUACCACUUUGUGAUUCAUGACUGGGGUGAAGUCGUAACAAGGUAACCGUAGGGGAACCUGCGGUUGGAUCACCUCCUUACCUUAAAGAAGCGUACUUUGCAGUGCUCACACAGAUUGUCUGAUGAAAAUGAGCAGUAAAACCUCUACAGGCUUGUAGCUCAGGUGGUUAGAGCGCACCCCUGAUAAGGGUGAGGUCGGUGGUUCAAGUCCACUCAGGCCUACCAAAUUUGCACGGCAAAUUUGAAGAGGUUUUAACUACAUGUUAUGGGGCUAUAGCUCAGCUGGGAGAGCGCCUGCUUUGCACGCAGGAGGUCUGCGGUUCGAUCCCGCAUAGCUCCACCAUCUCUGUAGUGAUUAAAUAAAAAAUACUUCAGAGUGUACCUGCAAAGGUUCACUGCGAAGUUUUGCUCUUUAAAAAUCUGGAUCAAGCUGAAAAUUGAAACACUGAACAACGANAGCAUGUGGUUUAAUUCGAUGCAACGCGAAGAACCUUACCUGGUCUUGACAUCCACGGAAGUUUUCAGAGAUGAGAAUGUGCCUUCGGGAACCGUGAGACAGGUGCUGCAUGGCUGUCGUCAGCUCGUGUUGUGAAAUGUUGGGUUAAGUCCCGCAACGAGCGCAACCCUUAUCCUUUGUUGCCAGCGGUCCGGCCGGGAACUCAAAGGAGACUGCCAGUGAUAAACUGGAGGAAGGUGGGGAUGACGUCAAGUCAUCAUGGCCCUUACGACCAGGGCUACACACGUGCUACAAUGGCGCAUACAAAGAGAAGCGACCUCGCGAGAGCAAGCGGACCUCAUAAAGUGCGUCGUAGUCCGGAUUGGAGUCUGCAACUCGACUCCAUGAAGUCGGAAUCGCUAGUAAUCGUGGAUCAGAAUGCCACGGUGAAUACGUUCCCGGGCCUUGUACACACCGCCCGUCACACCAUGGGAGUGGGUUGCAAAAGAAGUAGGUAGCUUAACCUUCGGGAGGGCGCUUACCACUUUGUGAUUCAUGACUGGGGUGAAGUCGUAACAAGGUAACCGUAGGGGAACCUGCGGUUG
rnacentral:rRNA from 1 species